AACUUGAACAGGCUGUUGCUGGUCCCUUGGGAUAUGUGCACGCUUGUCUCAUCUUUGUCAUUUCCCCCCCAACUUGUGCACAUUUUGUAGACCCUGGAGCUUUUUGAGAAAUUCAGUGUUGGGACUGCUGUGCUUUCUUGUAAAGUCGGCUUUUCCUUGCCUCAGGUCUAUGUCAUUUUUAUUCACAACCUUGUUCAGAAUGUAUCUUGAAAAUGAAACAUAUACAACUUUCAGCAACGGAUCUCUUGGCUCUCGCAUCGAUGAAGAACGCAGCGAAAUGCGAUAAGUAAUGUGAAUUGCAGAAUUCAGUGAAUCAUCGAAUCUUUGAACGCAUCUUGCGCUCCUUGGUAUUCCGAGGAGCAUGCCUGUUUGAGUGUCAUUUAACUUCUCAACCACACACGUCUCAUGAUUGUUAUGUGGCUUGGAUGUGGGGGUUGUUUGCAGGCUUUCUGUGAAUGAAGGUCGGCUCCCCUGAAAUGUAUUAGUGGUAUCUGAGGCUACUACUAUAGGUGUGAUAAAUUAUCUAUGCCUUUGGUAUGCNNNAUGAACAGAUUACACUGCUUCUAACAAAAAAACGAAUGUUGAUAAAUUUGACCUCAAAUCAGGUAGGACUACCCGCUGAACUUAAGCA
rnacentral:rRNA from 1 species